rnacentral:ncRNA from 1 species
UGGGCGGUAAAUUCCAUCGAAGGCUAAAUACAGGCGAGAGACCGAUAGCGAACAAGUACCGCAAGGCGAAGAUGAAGGACUUUGAAAAGAGAGUCAUAGAGUGCUUGAAAUUGUCGGGAGGGAAGCGGCUGGGGGCUGGCGAUGUGCCUCAGUCGGAUUUGGAACGAGGAGAGCCAGUCCGCCAAUCGACUUGGGGCAUGGACUGACGCGAAUUGUGAUGGUGGCCCAAGCCCAGGCUGUUGACAUGCUCAUGAAGACGUCAUCAUCGCGAUUGUGGUAGGAAAUGCGCGUCGUUUCGUGUGCUUCGGCUCCUGCGUGCUCCGGGCGUCGACCUGUAGGCUCCCUAUUCGGCCCAUCUUGAAACACAUACCAAGAAGUCUGACAUGUGUGCGACCUAGAGGGCAAGUAAACCCGAGAAGCACAAUGAAGCUGAUUGGUGGGAUCCCCUUGUGGGUUGCACCACCGACCGACCCUGAUCUUCUUUGCAGGGUUUGAGUGAGAGCAUACCUAUCGGGACCCGAAAUAUGGUGAACUAUGCCUGAGCGGAGCGAGACCAGAGGAAACUCUGGUGGAGGCCAGCAACGAUACUGACGUGCCAAUCGUUCGUCUGACUUGGGUAUAGGGGCGAAAGACUAAUCGAACUGUCUAGUAGCUUGUUCCCUCCGAAGUUUCACUCAGGAUAGCUAGAGCCUGUAGGUGAGUUCUAUCGGGUAAAGCUAAUGAUUAGAGGCAUCGAGGGUGCAACGCCCUCGACCUAUUCUCAAACUUUAAAUAGGUAGGACGAUAUGGCUGCUUUGUUGAGCCACUCCAUGGAAUUGAGAGCUGCAAGUGGGCCUUUUUUGGUAAGCAGAACUGGCGUUGCGGGAUGAACCGGAAGUUGGGUUACGGUGCCCAACUGUGUGCUAACCUAGACCCCACAAAGGGUGUUGGUCGAUUAAGAUAGCAUGACGCUAGUCAUGGAAGUCAAAAUCCGAUAAGGAGUUUGUAACAACUUACCUGCCGAAUCAACUAGCCCCGAAAAUGGAAGGCGCUAAAGCGUGCGACCCAUACCCGGCCAUCGGGACAAGGGCCAUGCCCCAAUGAGUAGGAGGACGCGACGGUCGCUGCAAAACCUAUAGCGUGAGCCCGGACGGAAUGGUCGUCGGUGUAGAUCUUAGUGGUAGUAGCAAAUAUUCAAAUGAGAACAUUGAAGGCCGAAGAGGGGAAAGGUUCCAUGUGAAUGACACUUGCACAUGGGUUAGUCGAUCCUAAGGGAUGAGGAAAGCCCGUCUGAUAGUGCUCUAAGCGCGCACUCCGAAAGGGAAUUGGGUUAAAAUUCCUGAACCGGGAUGUGGCGGCUGACUACAACGUUAGGGAGUCCGGAGACGACGACGGGGGCCCGGAAAGAGUUAUCUUUUCUGUUUAAUAUCCUUCCCACCCUAGAAACAACUCAACCGGAGGUGGGGUCCAGCGGCUGGAAGAGCACCGCACGUCACGUGAUGUUUGCUGCGCCCCCGAUGGCCCUUGAAAAUCCAGAGGACCGAGUGCCUCCCACGCCCGGUCUUACUCAUAACUGCAUCAGGUCUCCAAGGUGAACAACCUCUAGUCGAUGGAACAAUGUAGGCAAGGGAAGUUUUCAAAAUGGAUCUGUAACCUUGAGAAAAGGAUUGGCUCUGAGGGAUGGGCAUGAAGGUCCCAGUCCCUAACCCGUCGGCUGUCGGUGGACUGCUCAAGAUGCUCUUAUGGCGAGAGUGGGUCGCUGCGUGCCGGUCGGGGGACGGAUUGGGAAUGGGCCCUUCGGGGCCUCUUCCCCAGACAUCAAACAGUCGACUCAAAACUGGUACAGACAAGGGGAAUCUGACUGUUUAAUAAAAACAAAGCAUUGCGAUGGUUCGUGACGAUGUGGAUGCAAUGUGAUUUCUGCCCAGUGCUCUAAAUGUCAAAGUGAAGAAAUUCAACUAAGCGUGGGUAAACGGCAGGAGUAACUAUGACUCUCUUAAAGUAGCCAAAUGACUCGUCAACUAAUUAGUGAUGCGCAUGAAUGGAGUAACGAUAUUCCCAUUGUCCCUAUCUACUAUCCAGCGAAACCGCAGCCAAGGGAACGGGCUUGGCGGAAUCAGCAGGGAAAGAAGACCCUGUUGAGCAUGACUCUAGUCCGACUUUGUGAAAUGACUUGAGAGGUGUAGGAGAAGUGGGAGUUGGAAACAGAGGAACUGAAAUACCACUACUUUUAACAUUAUUUUAGUUAUUCCGUGAAUCGGAGGCGUGGUGCAGCCCCUAUUUUUGGACCCAAGGUCGGCCUCAGUCGGUCGAUCCGGGCGGAAGACAUUGUCAGGUGGGGAGUUUGGCUGGGGCGGCACAUCUGUUAAUAGAUAACGCAUGUGUCCUAAGAUGGGCUCAACGAGAACAAAAAUCUUGUGUGGAACAAAAGGGUAAAAGCUCGUUUGAUUCUGAUUUCUAGUACGAAUACUGUUAGGUAUCAGUGACAGAAUACACCUAGAAGGGGGUGAAUAGGUGUCGCGGCUCCCACUUACCACUAUAUGCCCCAGAACCCUAUUCUGGAAAAUCAUCCAGUUAAUCGAUUAAAGCUAUGACUUAAUCGAUUAAGUCACAUAGAAUUAGCAAUUGCUUAAUGGCUCAAUUACACAGCCAAUUACAGAUUAUACAGAAAUGAUAUAGCAUAUAUAUUUGAACACAAAUGAUCUUUAUUUGGCAGUAACACUAUAUUCAAAAUAUCAGCUACAAUAGGCAAUUAAAAGCUACUUGAACGCUACCUUCUUGAAUUCCCAGAACCUCUACCUUGGUUUGACAUUAUCAAAAAGAUAAACUAAAUGAAACUUUGGUCAAAAGUAAGAAGAGAUAUGAAGUGAACUCAAACUGUAAUUGAUCAAUUAAUUUUGAGAAUGUAAUUAAUUAACCAGUUGAUGAAAUAAUUGAACAAGCGCAUACAUUUACCAACAUUUAAUCGAUUAAAACAGCAGGUUAAUCGAUUAAACCAAUAGAAUACAACAAUAUGACAGAUUUAAUGGUGUGUAGGGUUAUACAUGAAUCAAUCAAGCAUGGAAUGAUCAAGCAUUUACAUUAUAGCAUUCAAACGGUAGGCUCAAUCAAACAUAAGAUGUACAUAUAACCAAACAUGAUCAAGAACCAUUAAACAUGCAAUCAUGCUAUUUGACAUAUAUAAACAAAAGGAAACCACAAUAGGAAUGAUUUAAGUUCAAUUGGCAUGCAUAUCAAGUCAUAAAAUUGCAGCAAUAAUAGAUAGUUAGAGUUACAAUCCAGAAAGCAAAGACAAAAAUAUGUCUCGAAAUUACAAAGUAGCAUAAAUCCUGAAAAUUAGCCAUAUAGAAGGACUAAACCAAGGGAAUCUAAGAUCUAAGGCCCUAUAAUCUAGGGAUGCAGAGGAGGAUCUCUGUUAUCAGAUACGGUCAGACUACUAUCACCCCGGAUGAGGAAUUUCACAUUCUCAAACUCUGCACAAAACUCUCAUUCUAUGCCUCAGCAGUGUUAUGCACAAAGCUCCUCAUAGCCUGAUAGUGGUUAUCGAAGCACCCUGACGCUCCUCAAAUUUUUCCAAAUCAGUAUGGUAGGAGUCCUUUAAAGACUGAAAGUAUAAGUCCAUCCCGUUCUUCAGCCUUUGCUCCAUGGCAUCCUCUUAAUCAAGAUGUACGCAAUCAAAUAGUGAAGCAAUCUAUUCUCUACCAAUAAAGAACCAGCUUUAGUCAGUUCUCCCUUAACAUAUAGAUGGGGACCUCUCAGACAUGAUUUAUAUACCUCAGCAUCAUCGAAAUCAGCAAGCCAUUCACAAUCACCUAGGCUAACAUCGGUAGUGGAUAAGCCACCCACAUUCAUAAAAAUGCUACUAUCCAUCUCAAACAGAUUUCUCGAAAUCAUAGACAAAUAUCUACCAUCCUUAUAACGGAAGUUGGCGUAAAAUUCCCUAAUCAAAGCGGGAUACAAAUUACCCGUUAAUUCCAAAAACAUUACAGCUCCCUAAGCCUGCAUACCUUGCGGAAAUUUGAAAUUUUGUUCCGCCAUCCAGGUAAGAUCAACGUACCUUAUGUGAUUAGUAGAUCCGAAGAUUAUAUCAUCAACAUAUAUUUGAACUAAAAGCACAUGAUUAUCUAAUCUACGAAUAAAGAGGGUAGUAUCAACCAUACCCCUUUUCCAUAAAGGCCUUUUUGAGCUUAUAUACAUGGUUCAGAUACUUCAAAUUUUCAAAGCCAGGAGGUUGAUCUACAUAUACCUCCUCUUGAAUGUAGCCAUUCAAGAAGGCGCUCUUGACAUCCAUUUGACAGAGCUUGAAGUUAAUAAUUGAUGCAAAGGAUAAAAGCAUCCUUAUGGCCUCUAAUCUGGCUACAGGAGCGUAGGUCUCAUCAUAAUCGAUGCCCUCCUCCUUGUUCUAGCCUUUGGCCACUAAGCAAGCUUUAUUUCUAAUUAUCAAGCUAGAUUCAUCCAAUUUAUUACGAAAGACCCAUCUAGUAC